GUUCCCUCAGGGUUGAUAAUAUGUGAGGAGGACUCUCAGCAAACUUGCUGUCUUCAAGGUUACAUUUAUUAUAGAAAGGAAAGAGAUUAAAAUCAAAGGAUAAAGGACCGUGUUAAUACGGGAAUUGAAGAUGUGGCUUUGGACUUCACCUGGGAGGAAUGGCAGCUUCUGGACCCGAUUAGGACCUGUGCAGGGACGUGACGUUGAGAACUACAGCCACCUGGUGUCAGUGGGGUGUCAAGCCAGCAAACCAAACACAUUCUUCAAGCUGGAAUGAGGGGAAGAGCCCUGGACGAUGGAAGACAAAACCCACAGUGGAACCUGUCCAGACACUCGUGACUGAAUUCAGACUUUUUGUUCAAGGAAUGAAAAUCAUCUUCCCUACAAGAAAAUUUCUUCCACCUUUUUCUUUUUUUUAAAGUUUAUGAUCUUCUAACAAUUUAGAAAGAUGAAUAUUUAAUAAAGUAGUUUAAGAAUGA